GUAAGAUGGUAGCUUACCUGGUUCAGGAUCGCGCAAGAUGCAGUCGCCAGCCAGCUGGUGGUGGCAAAAGACUGGCAUCCGAGCCCGUGCACUUCUCGCUCUACACUCUCAUGCAGCACCCUCCUGCGAUGUUGCACCCUAACAUCUCCCCUGUACCUCGUUCUUCAGCUCUGGGUUUGCUAUUUACCGCACAACCAUGCAUGGAAAAAAACCCCUUAUGUCUAGCCAGUCUCGAACCUACAACCUCGGCUAUGCCGUCCUGUCACCUAACCUACUAGGCCAUUUGGACUGCUUGACAGUAUA
rnacentral:lncRNA from 1 species